GAUGAACGCUGGCGGCGUGCCUAAUACAUGCAAGUCGAGCGAACAGAUAAGGAGCUUGCUCCUUUGACGUUAGCGGCGGACGGGUGAGUAACACGUGGGUAACCUACCUAUAAGACUGGAAUAACUCCGGGAAACCGGGGCUAAUGCCGGAUAACAUUUAGAACCGCAUGGUUCUAAAGUGAAAGAUGGUUUUGCUAUCACUUAUAGAUGGACCCGCGCCGUAUUAGCUAGUUGGUAAGGUAACGGCUUACCAAGGCAACGAUACGUAGCCGACCUGAGAGGGUGAUCGGCCACACUGGAACUGAGACACGGUCCAGACUCCUACGGGAGGCAGCAGUAGGGAAUCUUCCGCAAUGGGCGAAAGCCUGACGGAGCAACGCCGCGUGAGUGAUGAAGGUCUUCGGAUCGUAAAACUCUGUUAUUAGGGAAGAACAAAUGUGUAAGUAACUGUGCACGUCUUGACGGUACCUAAUCAGAAAGCCACGGCUAAUUACGUG
rnacentral:rRNA from 1 species